rnacentral:lncRNA from 1 species
GUCCUGAGUAAAUCAUAGGUUUAUUAUCACCAAGUGUGAACAUGGAGGAAACAUCUCUAGUGCGGCUGAUCUGUGAGUAGAAUCUGUGUCUUUUUUUAUUUUAAUUUACAGAAAUCAGUUGAAAAAUGACGUGAAAAACUAGAAAUCCAUACUUUGGUUUUGUGUAGAUCCAACAAUGUUUGGUUCAGAUAUUGUCCCAAGACGGUAAAGUAUUGAACGUUGAAGAGAAUGUUACUAUAGAAGGUUGUAAAGAUGCUUUGAAAGAUGCUUCUUGAUGCACUGGUUUUUAUUUACAAGUUCUCUAUUGUCAGUUUCUUUAUGAAAAAAUGACAUUUUCUAUAAAGUCACCUUCCUGCUUCCUGUUCUCGAUCUCAUUAUUGUGACAUCCUGGGGAACCACAAACUCAAACCAACCUGACUUUCAUUUCUCUUUAGUUGUGACGUCUCUGCUGUGGUGCCAGGCAAACCAAACCAAGACAAACCAAGCGUCUCUGACUGUGAGUCCCAGCAGCUCUCAGCUGUUUAGUGAAGAGUUUGUGAGUCUGACGUGUGUGGAGGACGACAACUCUGCUGGAUGGACGGUGUGGAGAAACACAACUGAAGGACGAGUGUCUCAGUGUGGAGACAGCUGGGGAAGACCAAAUGCUCCUUCCUGUAUCAUCAGUAUGGCACUGACAUGGGACAGUGGAGUUUACUGGUUUUCUGGAGUCCAGAGAGGGAUCAACCAGUACCAUCAUCAACAUCACUGUUGUUUCUGUCAAAUCAGUGAUCCUGCAGAGUCCUGUCCUCCCUGUGAUGGAGGGACAUGAUGUCACUCUGCACUGUCAAACAAAGAGCCCUCCCUCCAAGCUCCCAGCUGAUUUCUAUAAAGAUGGCUCCCUCUUCAGGACUGAGCCUACAGGUCACACGACCAUCCACCAUGUUACCAAGUCUGAUGAAGGCCUCUACAAGUGUCACAUCAGCAGUCAUGGAGAGUCUCCACCCAGCUGGAUCUCUGUCACAGGGAGACCUACAACUACAACAACACCCUCAUCAACCAUUGCAGCCCCAACUUCUACACAACCGGCAACUCCUACCUCUUCGUCCCAGCCACCUGACUCAACCUCCCUCCAGCUUGUGUUCAGACUGAUCUAUUACCUGUUGGUGUUCUGUCCGUUCUUCACCUCCACUCUCCUCAUGGUGUCUUUAUAUCAACACAGACCCACAGCUUCAGAGAGGAACUGACUGAACAGACAGGAAACAACCAGCAGGUGGCAGCACGACAACUUGAAGAAGCAGCAGAAGAAGUGGAGCUGAAGUUUCCACCUCAACUCAAACUCCAAGUGUAAAAUAAAGAAUAGAAACUAAACGAGGUUGUGCUGUUGUAAUGUGACAGUGGCUGCAUGUUUGAAUCAUAUCAAUAAAGGUUUCUCAUCUUUGUGAACUCACAGAGUCAGUGAAUUAUUUGAGAGGAGCUUUUUGCAAACA